rnacentral:lncRNA from 8 species
AUGAUGAACACUAACUCCGCUGCACCUUGGUCUUCUCUCCAGUACGACAACCGUGACAGAAUUACCCACCACAAAAGGACCAAGCAGCGGAGGAAGGAGCAGCACCAGGAGAGCAGCAUGAUGGACUCAUGGACGUGGGAACAGAUACUGGACGGAGAGGGACCAUGGACUCAGGCUGGGGAGUAUCGCCUCCCGCAGUGGGAGAUCGAAGCGGCGAGAGUGGAGAGGCGAUGGUAUGAGGAGAGAGAGCGCAACAGGCACGAGAGGCAGCCCCAAGAUUUUUUGGGGGGGAGGCACACGGGACAGUCGGCGGUGCCGAGGUCGGAACCAGAGCCAGUCGGGUUGACGUUGGAGGUGAGCGAAGGGUGGAAAGCAGAGACAGUGAAGGAGUUGAUGGGGAGAUUGGAGGAGAGAGAGAUGAGAGACCUGCUGGUUUGGUGUGUAAGGCACGGCAUUCGCCCUACGGAGCGUGUCGGUGAAUUGAUGUCACCUGAGUCAGUUCUCCAUACUCGUCCUGAGGUGCGUGCUGGCCGUCUGUUGAAGACUGUGCCUGCGCCCAGAAACAGGCCUCCUGCAUGUCUUCCCAGCCCUGCACGUCCUGAGCCUACGCCCAGAAACAGGCCUCCUGCAUGUCUUCCCAGCCCUGCACGUCCUGUGCCUACGCCCAGAACCAGGCCUCCUGCAUGUCUUCCCAUCCUGGUCAAGCCCGUGCCUCCUCCUCGGACCAGUCCUCCAGUGGGUCUCCCCAUCCUGGUCUGUCCUGUGCCUGCUCCAGUGGGUCUCCCCAUCCUGGUUAAGCCUAUACCUCCUCCUCGGACCAGGCCUCCAGUGGGUCUCCCCAUCCUGGUCUGUCCUGUGCCUGCUCCACGGACCAGGCCUCCUGUGGGUCUCCCCAUCCUGGUUAAGCCUGUGCCUCCUCCUCGGACCAGGCCUCCAGUGGGUCUCCCCAUCCAGGUCCGUCCUGUGCCACCUCCCAGGACUAGGCCUCCAGUGGGUCUCGCCAGUCCAGAGCCGCCCGCCUGUUCGGAGCUGCCAGAGUGGCCCGCCUGUUCGGAGCUGCCAGAGUGGCCCGCCUGUUCGGAGCUGCCAGAGUGGCCCGCCUGUUCGGAGCUGCCAGAGUGGCCCGCCUGUUCGGAGCUGCCAGAGUGGCCCGCCUGUUCGGAGCUGCCAGAGGGCCCGCCUGUUCGGAGCUGCCAGAGUGGCCCGCCUGUUCGGAGCUGCCAGAGUGGCCCGCCUGUUCGGAGCUGCCAGAGUGGCCCGCCGGUCCGGAUCUGCCAGAGUGGCCCGCCGUGCCGGAUCUGCCAGAGUGGCCCGCCGUGCCGGAUCUGCCAGAGUGGCCCGCCGUGCCGGAUCUGCCAGAGUGGCCUGCCGUGCCGGAUCUGCCAGAAUGGCCCGCCUGUCCGGAUCUGCCAUCGCCGCCCGCCAGCCGGGCGCAGCCAGGGUCGUCCGCCAGUCGGGCGCAGCAAGGGACACCCGCCAGCUGGGCGCAGCCAUCGCCGCCCGCCAGCCGGGCGCAGCCAGGGUCGUCCGCCAGCCGGGCGCAACAAGGGUCGCCCACCAGACCUUCGGCGCGGCCAGGUGCGCCACCUAGGAGGGCGAAGCCAAGGGUGGGGCAGAGGCCACGUCCCGCACCUGAGCCGC